rnacentral:rRNA from 1 species
CCUACGGGUGGCAGCAGUGGGGAAGAUUGCACAAUGGGCGAAAGCUUGAUGCAGCAACGCCGCGUGAGCGAUGAAGGCCUUCGGGUCGUAAAGCUCUGUCCUCAAGGAAGAUAAGGACGGUACGUGAGGAGGAAGCCCCGGCGAACUACGUGCCAGCAGCCGCGGUAAUACGUAGGGGGCUAGGGUUAUCCGGAAUUACUGGGCGUUAGGGGGGCGUAGGUGGUUUCUGAAGUCAGAGGUGAAAGGCUACGGCUCAACCGUAGUAAGCCUUUGAAACUGGGGAACUUGAGUGCAGGAGAGGACAGUUGACUUCCUAGUGUAGCGGUGAAAUGCGUCGAUAUUAGGAGGAACACCAGUUGCGCCGGCGGCUCGCUGGACUGUACCUGACACUGAGGCACGACCGCGUGGGGAGCAAACAGGAUUAGAUACCCGGGUAGUC